GAAGCAUCUUGCAGUCUACUGAGUAUGCAGAGCUGAGGAAUAGAUGGACUCCAAGAAUCUAAACCACUUUUCAAUAAAUCCAUGGCUCCUCUACCCGCCCUGGUCCUGGUGGCUCUGGUGUGCUGACUUGUAGCCCAGGCUCUGGACUGCCACGUAUGCACCUACAGUGCAGAGAACUGCUUCAAGCCCAUGUGCUGCCUGGCCCUGGUCACCUACGGCACAACUACAGACUUACUACACCCCAAUCAGGAUGAAGGUCUGCUGUCUCAGUUAGUAGAAGUCUGCUUCCAACUUCUCCCCUUGUGUUUUCAACAACUUCCUGUCUUCAGGUAUCUUGGCUGGGAUGCAAAGGAGUGCUGAGAACUCAACAGCCUGACCAAUGAUUAGGAAUAAUUGGAAGCAGGUGGAGCUGAGGCCAGCUCACCCAACCUGGCCUGUGCUACAGUCCUUUCCUCUAUGAGCAUCACAGACUUCAAAAAGCUGGAGAAAGCUGUG
rnacentral:lncRNA from 1 species